ensembl:snRNA U2 U2 spliceosomal RNA
AUCACUUCUCGGCCUUUUGGCUAAGAUCAAGUGUAGUAUCUGAUGUUUGCACACUAUUAAGACUUAUUUAGGUGUCCUGCACACCCAUC